ACGGGGAGCAGCCCAGAGCCUGAAUCAGUGUGUGUGUUAGUGGAAGCGUCUGGAAAGGCGCGCGAUACAGGGUGACAGCCCCGUACACAAAAAUGCACAUGCUGUGAGCUCGAUGAGUAGGGCGGGACACGUGGUAUCCUGUCUGAAUAUGGGGGGACCAUCCUCCAAGGCUAAAUACUCCUGACUGACCGAUAGUGAACCAGUACCGUGAGGGAAAGGCGAAAAGAACCCCGGCGAGGGGAGUGAAAAAGAACCUGAAACCGUGUACGUACAAGCAGUGGGAGCACGCUUAGGCGUGUGACUGCGUACCUUUUGUAUAAUGGGUCAGCGACUUAUAUUCUGUAGCAAGGUUAACCGAAUAGGGGAGCCGAAGGGAAACCGAGUCUUAACUGGGCGUUAAGUUGCAGGGUAUAGACCCGAAACCCGGUGAUCUAGCCAUGGGCAGGUUGAAGGUUGGGUAACACUAACUGGAGGACCGAACCGACUAAUGUUGAAAAAUUAGCGGAUGACUUGUGGCUGGGGGUGAAAGGCCAAUCAAACCGGGAGAUAGCUGGUUCUCCCCGAAAGCUAUUUAGGUAGCGCCUCGUGAAUUCAUCUCCGGGGGUAGAGCACUGUUUCGGCAAGGGGGUCAUCCCGACUUACCAACCCGAUGCAAACUGCGAAUACCGGAGAAUGUUAUCACGGGAGACACACGGCGGGUGCUAACGUCCGUCGUGAAGAGGGAAACAACCCAGACCGCCAGCUAAGGUCCCAAAGUCAUGGUUAAGUGGGAAACGAUGUGGGAAGGCCCAGACAGCCAGGAUGUUGGCUUAGAAGCAGCCAUCAUUUAAAGAAAGCGUAAUAGCUCACUGGUCGAGUCGGCCUGCGCGGAAGAUGUAACGGGGCUAAACCAUGCACCGAAGCUGCGGCAGCGACGCUUAUGCGUUGUUGGGUAGGGGAGCGUUCUGUAAGCCUGUGAAGGUGUGCUGUGAGGCAUGCUGGAGGUAUCAGAAGUGCGAAUGCUGACAUAAGUAACGAUAAAGCGGGUGAAAAGCCCGCUCGCCGGAAGACCAAGGGUUCCUGUCCAACGUUAAUCGGGGCAGGGUGAGUCGACCCCUAAGGCGAGGCCGAAAGGCGUAGUCGAUGGGAAACAGGUUAAUAUUCCUGUACUUGGUGUUACUGCGAAGGGGGGACGGAGAAGGCUAUGUUGGCCGGGCGACGGUUGUCCCGGUUUAAGCGUGUAGGCUGGUUUUCCAGGCAAAUCCGGAAAAUCAAGGCUGAGGCGUGAUGA
rnacentral:rRNA from 1 species